rnacentral:lncRNA from 1 species
GUGGUGGCGUUGGCGUCCUAGAGCUCCGGAGUUGCUUACCCUUCCUGUAAGGGCAAUCGGACCCUUUCCGGUGAGGGAACCUCUCUCCAGACAUGAUCAAGAGAAACUGGCGAGGGACUGACAUGAUCUAGCUUACCUUGGGUCACCGAACGGAUUUGGUUUGUUUGUUCUUUCUCUACCCCAAGAAAAAGUCGCUAGCUACUGCAAGGUUUUGUUUUCAAACAAGGAACAGCAUGCCAAAAGAAAGUGCUGCGCCUACCUGAUGAGCAAGGGAAUAAUAUUCUUCUAGAAAACUUCUUGUAGUAGUAUCAAGUCUCCCCUUGAUUCUGAUAAACAUUGCGCGCGAAGUUUACACUUUAAGGAGGAGGCCGUUUCCCCCUUCUGAAAAGGCAUGUGACAUAAUUAUCCCAGCGAUCACUAAAACUGUAAAUUUGGAUGCAAUUAAGAGAGAAAACUCCACACAUUUAUGGAAAUUUAAGAUUUGCAGCUUGCUGGCUUGCUGAGUGGAAAAUGAUUCUUUCCCAGUUCUCCUUGGUUUCUUCCUUUCAUGAAUUGAUUAACACUGAGAGAUUAUGUUUUAAUUAUGUCGACUAGAGGUUUUAAAUGAUUCUAGGUUUCUGUGUCCAUUUGUUUUCCUAGGUUUGGGGAAUUUGCUACUGCAAUAUCGUUGUAUAGAUAUUCUUUGCUUUAGUGAGAAACUCAGCUCCUUCUACUCUGUGGUUCUUAGCUUUAGUCUAUUGUACACAUCACAGAGUUAAUGAAAGCUGUGGUCAUACUUGAUUUUUUCUUCAUUACUAUUGAAAUAAAGCAUAUCCUUGACCUUGUCUCCAAUCUCUAUUUUCAAGUCUGUUGGGGAUACAUUCCACUAUUGUUUGAUUGAAAUAUCCAUUUCCAACAUUUCUAUUACUUUGCUUCUUUUUUUUUUGUCCCCACCAAAAAUAAAUAUUUAUAGAAUUGUAAAUCAAAAUGAAACAUUUUUCUGUAUGUAUAAAAACAAAAGGAAACAAACAAAUAAAAAAAUCUGCAUAUUGAUUUGUU